AUUGAACGCUGGCGGCAGGCCUAACACAUGCAAGUAGAACGAGUGGCGGACGGGUGAGUAAUGUCUGGGAAACUGCCUGAUGGAGGGGGAUAACUACUGGAAACGGUAGCUAAUACCGCAUACCAUCGGAUGUGCCCAGAUGGGAGUAGCUAGUAGGUGGGGUAAAGGCUCACCUAGGAGACGAUCCCUAGCUGGUCUGAGAGGAUGACCAGCGAAAAGGGAACUGAGCAACGGUCCAGAGUCCUACGGUAGGCAGCAGUGGGGAAUAUUGCACAAGGGGCGCGAGCCUGAUGCGUCCAGGCCGCGUGUAUGAAGAAGGCCGUCGGGGUGUAAAGUACUUGCAGCGGGGAGGCGUUACCCGCAGAAGAAGCACCGGCUAACUCCGUGCCAGCAGCCGCGGUAAUAC
rnacentral:rRNA from 1 species